UGUCCCCAAGUGGGCUUGGCAGCCGGCCUACGCUCCUACCCCGAUAGUGACUGUUUUGCCUCUGCAAAGCAGCGGGGCCUUCUGGGGUCUGACCUGAAUCGCUCCCCCUGCUCCGGGCUCUGGGUGCUCCGGGACAGAGCCUGGUGCCCCUGGGCAGGUGAUGCCCGGUCCUCACCAGCAGCUGGGAAAGGUCUCUGGACCCCAGAGCCCAGCUAUGGAUGCAGCGCUGGGGCUAGGUUAGCCCAUCUUCUCCCUAGAGAUGUGGCACUGCCCUCCCAGACUCUGGGGGCCUGCCUGUCUGGGCUUGGUCAAUCAGGGGUCCUGGGAGAUGAGACUGGGUCUAGGGACUUGCAUGGUGGGAAGGACAGCAGUUGUAAGGGAUCUGGGGUGUUCCUUGGGUCUUUUCGAGGCUCUUCUGCGGCAGAAAUGGCACUUGAACCCACGUCGCCCUUAUCAACACCCAGAAUAUCUGAAAUUGGGUCUGUUCUGGGAAAUCUCAUCCUGAAGCUCAGCAUCACCCCUGGACCCCAUGCCUCUCUUCCCAUUUAGAGGACUGCAACAGUCCCUUCCUCUCCCUGUGAGGAGCCCCCACUGUGGGGGGAGGGUCUCUCAUCAUCUUUCCCAACUCCAGCUCCAGGUUACCCCUCAACAGCAGCAGCAGGAGGAAAGAGACUGUGGUUGCAGCUAGAGGGAUGGAAGUUAGAGCUCAGGAAGGACUUUCCUAGAGCACAGAGGUCUGUUUCUCCCACAGGUGCCUAUGUGGUGGAGGGACAGGCCCACUACUUUUUAAAGUGGAGAGACAUGGAAUGCUUUCUAAGGGGUGAGGGGGAAGAUGAUUCUAGGAGGCCAUAAGCAAAGUUUAGUUGGGGUGAGUGUGUGUGUGUGUGUGUGUGUGUGUGUGAAGCGUGCGUGUGUGCAAGCUCAUAGGGGAGUGGAGGAGGCAGAGGAAAGAGUUUGGUUCAGAGAGGACAGGUGGCCACUCUGCGGGUCACCGGGCACCCUUCCUGCCCCCAUCCGGAUUCCCAGGACAUGACCGGGAGGAUGGACUUUCCCCACCAUGGCCUUUAGUGACUAAGACACUUUUCUGAGCAAACAGCUGUCUCAGGCUCUCUCAGCCAGCCCCGCUCCUGGAGGAGGGGGGAGUGCUGUGGUUUUCCACCCUCCUCCCUCACUCUCUCCCACCUGUUCCCUUCACCCUACCCUCAGCAGCUUCCUUCCCACCCCCCAGCUCCCACCUCUCUCCCUGGUAACACUGCCAAAUCGUCCCCACUCUGCCCAGACUCACUCACUGUCCCACCUGGGCAAGUCCCUUCCCCGCUCUGGGCUUCAGUUUCCCAUCUGUACAACUAGAAGGGAGCAGGGCUCCAAGAUCUCCUGUACUUCAUCACUGUCACCGUCAUCCAUCAAUGGAGCGAGUAUUGAUUGAGAGCACGGGUGGGGAGGGAGAGAGCUCCCAUUUGCCGAGCACCAACGAUGUGCCAGGCCCUGCCCCUUCUGGGACUGAGAGCAGCCCUUUGCACAUUGAAAAAGCUGAAACUCAGAGAGGUACAGGGACUUACCUAAGGAUACACAGCUAGUGGGUGACCCCAGAACUGUCUGUGACUUGUCCUCUCCCUGGGCUGGCACCUACCUACUGUACACUGGGACCUAUGAUCAGGUGGGGAGCUGAGGGGAACAACAGAUGGCCCAAUCCUUGUUAAAGGACUCUCUCCUGUAGGGGUAGAGACUCCAGGAUCUGAAAGAGUUGAGGUCUGGAAGUGGCUCAGACUAGGGGCUGGUCAUUGAUUCCCAGUGUGACCACAGGUCAACCAAGGGUGCAGGUUCCUUUCUCGGAGCAGCAAGGGGGUGGUUUAAGUCAGUGGUUUUCAGACUUUAUUAGCAAUGGAAUCCUUUUCCCAGACAGAAUCGUAAGGUAACACCCCAACGUGUAAAAGUCAUUCAAGCAGAGGGGUUCUGGUGGAAUGGAGGUGAGGGGGUCAGGUUCCACCCAGCAGACCUCCUCCUCCUUCCUCUCCACACCCCCAGAAGCGCCCUGGGUUUUCUUACAGCUGUAAGGGCUGGUAGCAGUGAGAGGAGGUAGAAAUCUCCACAGGCAAUGGCCGAGGGGGCCUCCUUGGGGAUGGGGUGGGGAGGACUUUGAGAGGUGCAGAGAAGUGCAACCAAUAAUGCUUGCAGCUACCAUCAGUGCGGCCCAUGCUAAAUGCUGAGCCUCUGGGCAGGAUGCUUUCCCUGCCUUGUCUAUCGGCAUCCCAGCAGCCCUGUGAGGUAAGACUGUUCCCAUCUCAUUAUACAGACAAGAAGACUAAGGGUCUGUGGAGAGACUUGCCGAGUGUAGCUGUUCAGCCCUGUGCUGUGCUGCAUGUGUGUGUGUGCAGGUGGGGCGUCGGGGUGGGGAGGGUGUUAUAGAGCAUGGGGGAGGAAGAGCAAGCUUGGCAAGGGGGACACAGGAGGCCUGGAAUGCUAGGCUGAAGGGUCCAGUUUGACCUGAGAGGAAGCAGGAAGCCUGGCGAGUCCUGAGCCUGGGCAUGCUGAAGAGGCUGGGGCUCUGCAGGAGAGAGCUGAGGAGGGGAGGAGUGGGAGGUUGGCAGUGCAGGGCCAAAAAACACUGAACUACAAGUCAUGGCUGGGCUUCCUGGCUCUACCUCUGGAGUAGCUGGUGACCUUGGGCAAGUCACUCCACCUCGCCCCACCUUCCCCAGCUCUUGCCAGGACUGAGUGCAAUAAUGCGUGACAAAGUCAUGAUCAUACAGACAUGAACCAUGGAUUCACUGUUCUUCAGGUGUGGGUUCGGGUGGAAAGGCGAGAUGCUGUGAGAAUUCUCUAGUCCUACCAGCUCUUCUCAAUCUUGGAGGGCUUCCUAGGAGGAGGGGAUGGGAGUGGAGAGUGCUCAUGGGGUAACAGCAUCACAUCCAUUAUUCACCUCUAGGGAUCCACGUCCACUGAGAGCAGGAGGAAGUCUGAGAGAAAGACCAAACUUGCUUCCUUUCACAAGGUGACCCAGAGAGGACAAGAGACGUAGGCCACACAGCAGGAUUCUUCCUCCUUGACCCCAACUCCUAGGAGACCAUGCAGAAGACAACACUAUUGUGGUCCUUCUGGGAGGCUCCACGAUCUUUGAGAGCCACUGGGACAGUGGAGUCGGUUGGAAAAUGAGGAGGAAGGACUUUUCGGAGUUGCCAAGAGUGCAAUGGAGGAAAGCUACCCUGCUCCCCACCCCCUGGUGGGAGAAACUUGGAUGUAGGCUCAGGGAGGGAGAGGAUGGUCAUUGUGAAGAUCAUUGGGAGGACGGAUGCUGCGAGUGCUAGGAAAAGUGUCUACAGAAUGCUCCGGAUGUAAGGGGAUCGUGCUGGGUAUUAGAUAGGGGCUCUCUUGGGCUGCACCAAAGUGUUUGUUUACACCCUGAUGGGCCUUGCUGGCGGGGAAAUUUAAAGGGAACGUGCUCAGCAAGGAAGCUGCUUGCCAAUCACAACUGAUCGAAACAUCUCCAAAAUAAGAAUGGACGUCUAUGGGAAAAUGAGGACCCAUUGACUAGCCUGAUACUCCACUACAUUUGGGUUUUCAAGGAUGAGUCGAAGAGCAGUAAAGUGGGACAGUGCUGUGGCCUUGAUAAUGGGGGGUUAGCUAGGAAAUGAAAUACCUGAGCUUCAAACUAUUCUCUGAGGCCAGCAGCCCUUGCGUGCACUCGCACUUGCUCUCUCUCCACGUGGGGCUGGGCAUGCGGCUAAUCAGUGAAUAGAUACUUGGCUGUCUCACUGAGAUGUAUUUGGGUCCAGGCAGUGGGAAAGGCCAGAUGAUCCCCUGCAGAGAAAAGUCCAGAGCUAGAAUAAAGAUAACGGGAUACAGGACAAGGGGCAUUCAACUUGGGAGUCAGAAGCCUGUAGGGCUGCCCCAAACUCAGUCACAGGGGCAGACCUACUGACUUCUCAUGGUGACAGUCCCACCUGCCUCACCCACCCUGAUGAUACUGGAGGGGUACCAUGUAGUCAAAACCUUAAAACCAGGAAAACCUUUGCUUUUGCAAAAGAAUGUUAUUUUUCUUCCUUUUAUAGUGUGAAUCUCUUACCUGGUCCGGUCUCUUUGUUUUGGCGGCCAGGAAGCCCAGGAUCAAAGGUGAAACCUAAUUCUAACAACUAUGUAGGUUUUUAUGGCCAGAGUAUUUGUGUUCUUGUUUUCUAAGAUCCUGAUUUCCUACUCAAUUAUAUUCUUCCUUCCUAGACAAGUAAUUCUAAUUUGUCAUAUUUUAUUUCAUUGUGUACUGUUUUCAAGGUAAGCCAUCUUAAUUGUUCUGGUGGAAUAAGGCAACGUACAUUUAGGUAAAUGGUUGAAAAUGGAAUAGAUGACAAAGAUAUCCAAGUACUUGCCAUGGUUGACAGUGGUGGAUAUUUGGGGAAUUAUAAGGGCAUCAGGGUCAGAGUUGAAACCAUCUAAUAUUAAAGCCUCUUCCCCAUCAACGCCCCCUCUCCCCCCAGUGCCUUAAAACAGUCCCAAAAAGAAGGGAAUUGCCCAAGGUUUUAUGGCAUAUUACUGUCAGAGAAGAAAUUAACACCUACUUUUCUUGGCACCUAGUUCUCUGCUCUUCCUAUGACAAUAGGCCUCGUUCUAGCUGAAAGGAUGGCAUUCUGAAGGUAAGAAAGAUGGCUCACCACUGGCCUCUACAGCCAAUGAGGAAGUGAAAUGCUCUCUUGAGUCUUCCUGCUUCAAUUAAUAGGAAGCAGGCCCUGGCUGUAGAACCCUUCUGAUAUGCUGGCUGACAAGGGGCUUGGGCUGCCCUCCAUGGCAGAUGCCCCUGGCCAUGGCCACAGCAGGCAUCUCAGAGUGCCAGCCUACGCCAAGGCAGGAGUGGAGGGAUUUGCUUGGGUCCUUGUUUGAAAGACAGUGACAGCUUUUCCCAUGAGAUGCUCUCUGGACUCUCAACCAAGGAGCCACAGCUCAGUCUGGCCCACAUGUGGUCGUCCAGGAAGUUAAGGCAAGCAGGCACCUCGGAGCAGCAACUAGAUUCUGAUGAAGUUCAUUUUAUUUUUAAAAUAAAGCUGGAGACCUCAGUUUGAAUCAGAUAUGCAGUGUAAAUUCCCUUAGCUUUGGACAUCCCCUCCUCCCUCCUUCAGAGACACCCAACCUGAGGGCAAACAAACCUUUCCAAGCCUUUCCCAAGGAAAGUGGCCCCAUAAAUGCCCCCUGACACAGAAACCCAGACUCUAAAUUAUCUAAAAUGAGAUUUAUUGCAUUUCAUGCAGUUUGAAGUCCAUGCAGCAAUGGAGACUAGCACAAUUUUUAAUGCAUUUUAAA